AGGAACAACUGCCUGUGAGCCUUGAACAAGCUACUUCCAUUUUCUGGCUCUUUAGUCUCCUCAUUUGUAAAAUGAGGGGGCUGGAGUAAGUAAGCUCUAUAAGGCUCUCAGCUGUGACAUCUAUGCAUAAUCACAGAAGAUCGAAGUGUACAGAACACCAUGGAAACUGAAGAGAGAUUCUGAAAGGAGGCUUUAAGAGGUCACUUGCAUCCAAUGCUGCAGAAGUGUCAGAGACUGAGGACUUAAAUGAAGCCACUGAUUAGCAAUUUAAAGAUCCUCUCCAAGGCAACGACUACGUGUAAAGUAAUGUGGACAGAGUCUUGGACAGAGAAAUGCCUCAGAAAUGUUUUGUGAUGAAGAUGAAGGAGAGGCGCUGGAAGCAGAAACUGGGGAGGGGGUAGGAUUCGUGUCUCCACUUACUCUCCACCCCAGCAGGGACAGAAAGCAUGCCUCCUCUUUCCUGUUCAUUGGCUACAUUCCUCUCUGAGGCCAGAGGGGCAAGCUGGACAAUGCAAAUGAACUUUGGAUGAGACUUAGCCAAGGGGCCUCCAAAGGGAGAGCAGCGGGGCUGCUUAGGAGGGAAUAAAAAAAUAAGGUGGUCACCUAUUUC
rnacentral:lncRNA from 1 species